GAACAUGACCAAACCAUCUUAAUUAACACUCUCUUAUUUUAUACUUUUAAACAUGACCAAACCAUCCGGGAGAAAAAGGCUGCACACAUAUAAUAUACAGUCACUCUAAAAAUAAGUUAUCUACAACCUUCAUAUUGCAACUGAUCAACAAAUGGAAACUCAACAUGGCUAUAUACCCUGAUCCAGACUUACAAUCCAUCUCAACUCAACAUAUCUGGAAUCCUGAAGGUUGAAUGCUUGAAUCCUUCCAUAUAUGUUAAAUUGAAUUGCACUAGGCACACUAAUCCAUCAAACAGGUCAUUUACAAAGACAUAUGACACAAGGCUCAAUCUACCCUCAGAAUGUUUACAUGGUGAUCUUCAUCUUUUACUCUCUAAUUUCAAAAUUUGAACAUUGUAGCAUCAACAUCAAGGAACAAAAUCA
rnacentral:misc_RNA from 1 species